GCGCCGGUCGUAUAACGGCUAUUACCCCAGCCUUCCAAGCUGGAGACGAGGGUUCGACUCCCAUUCGGCGCU
rnacentral:tRNA from 1 species